rnacentral:rRNA from 1 species
UGGGGAAUUUUGGACAAUGGGCGAAAGCCUGAUCCAGCAAUGCCGCGUGUGUGAGGAAGGCCUUCGGGUUGUAAAGCACUUUUGUCCGGAAAGAAAUCCUUGGCUCUAAUACAGUCGGGGGAUGACGGUACCGGAAGAAUAAGCACCGGCUAACUACGUGCCAGCAGCCGCGGUAAUACGUAGGGUGCAAGCGUUAAUCGGAAUUACUGGGCGUAAAGCGUGCGCAGGCGGUUUGCUAAGACCGAUGUGAAAUCCCCGGGCUCAACCUGGGAACUGCAUUGGUGACUGGCAGGCUAGAGUAUGGCAGAGGGGGGUAGAAUUCCACGUGUAGCAGUGAAAUGCGUAGAGAUGUGGAGGAAUACCGAUGGCGAAGGCAGCCCCCUGGGCCAAUACUGACGCUCAUGCACGAAAGCGUGGGGAGCAAACAGGAUUAGAUACCCUGGUAGUCCACGCCCUAAACGAUGUCAACUAGUUGUUGGGGAUUCAUUUCCUUAGUAACGUAGCUAACGCGUGAAGUUGACCGCCUGGGGAGUACGGUCGCAAGAUUAAAACUUAAAUGAAUUGACGGGGUCAUAGCUGUUUCCU